AACACAGUAAAGAAAUAUAGACAUCAGAAACAUCAGAUAGGUCCGACCUCCGUGUUUUGCUAUAUAUCUUUAAACAUUGCAGUUACGGCUGAAAAUGACAAUAGAAAU